UCGCUUUCUCGUUCCCCGCCUGUUCUUGCCGUCGCCGGUCGGUCGCGGUGCGCGGGUGCGUCUGUCUGGGCCUGCCUGCUGGCGGGGGCUCCUACCUGGCCGGUGCUUCCGCUCGUCGCGCCCGCGGGGGCCUCGGGCCUCUUGCCUCGGCUGUGCCCGCUGGGCUGCUUNGUCGUGUUGGGGUAACCGGGCUUCACCCUUAGUGCGGNACGACUUCCCCUACAGCCUUGGGUCUUGACGGAGGGACUUGACCCAGGCCAACAACUUGGGACACACCUUGAGGACCACCGGGUCCCCACGAACUUCCUUACCGGGG
rnacentral:rRNA from 1 species